rnacentral:rRNA from 1 species
GACGAACGCUUGCUUCGUGCCUCCUCCCUGCACGUUGAGCGCUGAAGGUUGGUACUUGUACCAACUGGAUGAGCAGCGAACGGGUGAGUAACGCGUGGGGAAUCUGCCUUUGAGCGGGGGACAACAUUUGGAAACGAAUGCUAAUACCGCAUAAAAACUUUAAACACAAGUUUUAAGUUUGAAAGAUGCAAUUGCAUCACUCAAAGAUGAUCCCGCGUUGUAUUAGCUAGUUGGUGAGGUAAAGGCUCACCAAGGCGAUGAUACAUAGCCUACCUGAGAGGGUGAGCGGCCACAUUGGGACUGAGACACGGCCCAAACUCCUACGGGAGGCAGCAGUAGGGAAUCUUCGGCAAUGGACGAAAGUCUGACCGAGCAACGCCGCGUGAGUGAAGAAGGUUUUCGGAUCGUAAAACUCUGUUGGUAGAGAAGAACGUUGGUGAGAGUGGAAAGCUCAUCAAGUGACGGUAACUACCCAGAAAGGGACGGCUAACUACGUG